UAGCUCAGUUGGUAUAGUAUGGUGUUUGCAACGCCAGGGUUGUGGGUUUGAUUCCCAC
rnacentral:tRNA from 1 species